rnacentral:rRNA from 1 species
CAGCCGCGCGGUAAUACGUAGGGUGCAAGCGUUAAUCGGAAUUACUGGGCGUAAAGCGUGCGCAGGCGGUUUGUUAAGACAGAUGUGAAAUCCCCGGGCUCAACCUGGGAACUGCAUUUGUGACUGGCAAGCUAGAGUGUGGCAGAGGGUGGUGGAAUUCCGCGUGUAGCAGUGAAAUGCGUAGAUAUGCGGAGGAACACCGAUGGCGAAGGCAGCCCCCUGGGCCAACACUGACGCUCAUGCACGAAAGCGUGGGGAGCAAACAGGAUUAGAUACCCCAGUAGUCCCUGUCUCUUAUACA